CAGGUGUCGUGAAAACUACCCCUAAAAGCCAAAAUGGGAAAGGAAAAGACUCAUAUCAACAUUGUCGUCAUUGGACACGUAGAUUCGGGCAAGUCCACCACUACUGGCCAUCUGAUCUAUAAAUGCGGUGGCAUCGACAAAAGAACCAUUGAAAAAUUUGAGAAGGAGGCUGCUGAGAUGGGAAAGGGCUCCUUCAAGUAUGCCUGGGUCUUGGAUAAACUGAAAGCUGAGCGUGAACGUGGUAUUACCAUUGAUAUCUCCUUGUGGAAAUUUGAGACCAGCAAGUACUAUGUGACUAUCAUUGAUGCCCCAGGACACAGAGACUUCAUCAAAAACAUGAUUACAGGGACAUCUCAGGUUGGUGGGAUUAAUAAUUCUAGGUUUCUUUAUCCCGAAAGGCUUGCUUUGUACACUGGUUUUGUCCUUUGGAGAGUUCACAGGGAUAUGUCUUUGCUUUCUUUAAAGGCUGACUGUGCUGUCCUGAUUGUUGCUGCUGGUGUUGGUGAAUUUGAAGCUGGUAUCUCCAAGAAUGGGCAGACCCGAGAGCAUGCCCUUCUGGCUUACACACUGGGUGUGAAACAACUAAUUGUCGGUGUUAACAAAAUGGAUUCCACUGAGCCACCCUACAGCCAGAAGAGAUAUGAGGAAAUUGUUAAGGAAGUCAGCACUUACAUUAAGAAAAUUGGCUACAACCCCGACACAGUAGCAUUUGUGCCAAUUUCUGGUUGGAAUGGUGACAACAUGCUGGAGCCAAGUGCUAACAUGCCUUGGUUCAAGGGAUGGAAAGUCACCCGUAAGGAUGGCAAUGCCAGUGGAACCACGCUGCUUGAGGCUCUGGACUGCAUCCUACCACCAACUCGUCCAACUGACAAGCCCUUGCGCCUGCCUCUCCAGGAUGUCUACAAAAUUGGUGGUAUUGGUACUGUUCCUGUUGGCCGAGUGGAGACUGGUGUUCUCA
rnacentral:sRNA from 1 species